rnacentral:rRNA from 1 species
UACGUAGGGUGCAAGCGUUAAUCGGAAUUACUGGGCGUAAAGCGUGCGCAGGCGGUUUUGUAAGUCUGUUGUGAAAUCCCCGGGCUCAACCUGGGAAUGGCAAUGGAGACUGCAAGGCUAGAGUUUGGCAGAGGGGGGUAGAAUUCCACGUGUAGCAGUGAAGUGCGUAGAUAUGUGGAGGAACACCGAUGGCGAAGGCAGCCCCCUGGGUCAAAACUGACGCUCAUGCACGAAAGCGUGGGGAGCAAACAGG